UGUUUCAUAGCUAAAUAUUUGAUAUUAAAUGAAAGCCCUGUUUCCCCUGAAUAAAAUGAUAUAUAAUAAGGGUGAGUGUAUUUAAUAUGAAAGAGGUGAAUUACAGUUGGACAGACAUGUAGCGCAAAUGCCAGGUUUUGUUUAUAUUUUGUUUCGUUCACAACGUGUACAUUUGGCUCCGUCCUUAAAGGACCACUCUAGGCACCCAGACCACUUCAGCUUAAUGAAGUGGUCUGGGUGCCAGGUCCUUCUAGGGUUAAC